ensembl:lncRNA
UGAAAAGCGAAGGAAUAAAGUGUUUUUGCAGCCUGGGGUUUCUUAAAGCCCUACACUCGAGAAGAUGAAGUCUCUAAGGUCAACCUCAAGACUCCUGGUCCAUCUUUGGGUCUGAACAAAGAAUCUCUAACUACUCACAAUAAACUGGGGCAGAGAGAGACACCUUCCAAGUGAGCGUGAGAGUUAACAUGGAAAACAUUCCACACACACACACACACACACACACACACACACGAGCAGCUCCACAUGUUGUAGAAGAUUUGGUAAUCUGCAGAAUAAAAAUCUAAGUAUAGGAGAACUCAACACAGAAACAGUUGCACUGUAAUAGGAUUUGUUUUCAAGCUUCUUCAAAUAAAUUCUGUGGAUCUGCUACUGUAUCACACACACCUCCACCCACCCUCCAGCCAGGGAAGGAAUGUCUUGAAAAUCCUACAAGCGCAUUUUAUAGUCUCUGGGAACAGCACAAACAACUUCUCAAGUGACAAGAGAGUCCCCUUAAACAGUCAGAUGGAUUUAGCUGGAAAUACUAAAUACCGAGUAGCUUAGUGAGCAGCUCAGCAAGUCAAUGUACAGUGCAUAUGAGAAAACAUAUCCCAGCUGAGUGUGGACAACACAAAUUGAUUAAAGAUGCUGAAAAUCUAAUACAUGACCUUAAUUUCUUCAGAACUGCAGGCUUUUACAGCUCUUAGAAGAGACGGGCAUGCGUUAGACCGAGAACAGGACAGCAGCCAGGCCUGCUGUUCUGAGCACUUGCCCAGCCCUGGGCACUGGGCUAAGCGCAUCACUCUUGCACUUAGUCCUAACAGACGUAUCCUCAGGAAGCUAUUAUUCACAUGCCACGUGACCCACGCAUCUUCCUGGUUAGUCAUCACCGAAAUCUAUAGAAGCUUCUCACCCCAGAGGCAAGGGGCCUAAUGCUCCCAGGAAGAGACAUCCACACACUAAAGUCUCAGGGGCCAGGACAGUCCCAGGUGCUCAUGUGUCUCUCCAAGGUCCUGUGUGGACCAAAAGAAUGGGAAAAGGAGACAAACAGAGACAGGCUGGUUAUCCUGGUGGACAGGUGUCACUGGGACCCGCUACCACCCUUUUUUCUGAUAAGGUCAGUAAUGUCGCACGCUCAGGGGUACAGCCCUCGCUGUGCACCAAGUAUUUGAAACAUACGAGCUUUCCGGGAUGCUCUUAUCAACUACAAGGUUACUCGCAACCUCCAGGUCUCCCCAUCACAUGGCGCAUUUACAGCCAGCACAGUGCUCUCUAACACACAGAAAUCAAAGAGCACUCCCGGAGUUUCUGUUGUGGCUCAGCAGUAACGAACCUGUCUAGUACCCAGGAGGACAUGAGUUUGAUCCCCGGCCUUGCUCAGUCGGUUAAGGAUCCGGCGUUGCCAUGGCUGUGGUGGAGGCUGGCAGCUGUAGCUCCGAUGAGACCCCUAGCCUGGGAACCUCCAUAUGCCACCGGUGCGACCCCAAAAAGACAAAUAAAAAAUGAAAAUAAAAUAAAACCUGGGAAGGGGGGUGAGGGGUGAGGGAAGCACAUGAAGCCUUCUUGUGUCCCAGUGUCCCACACAGGGCCUUCUAACACACUUGGCAAGUCCAAGUGGCUGGGCGCGUGGCUUGCGAACCUGCUGGCACCUGCCUGUUGUGCCUUAGGAAGUAAGCAGGUAUCAGGGCCUUGCAAAACGGUCAAGCCUGGAGCUCGGCAGGUGCUCUCUGAACCUGAAGGGGGCCUCCUCUGAAUCCCAGAGAGAAGAAACAAAAAGUCGGCCGGUGCUGUACUGGGUGAGCCUGAGCAGUUCUCCCACGUACACAACCACCUACCAGCUGUCCACCUUCUCUACAGACCAAACACUGGCCAAGGCCACGCCGACAGGCCAGGAAACACCUUCCUUCCCACUGUGAACUUUCUGUUACAGGCGAACCCUCCUUGGGAACAUUCGUUUCAUUCUGUUGUUACAAGUCACAUUUAAACAAAAAUCCCCUUUAAAACUGAGGGGUAUUCACGAUGAAAUCCCAUUACAAGGAAUAUCAAGGAAUUCUAUUCUAUAGUUAAAAAGAAGUGGGUCUCAGGGAAAACACAGAGCAGUUAAGACAACUUCCAGCUGCCAUGGGGAUCACGCCCAUGUUUGAUCCGUUACUUAUUCAUCAUGGAACCAGAGUUCUCGUGAUCCCAGCCUGACUACUCGUCCUGGGGUUCACGGCUGAUAUUCUGCAACACACACUCCAGAGGGUAGGACAAGGCAGAGGGUUUCCUGUGGGUCAUGGCAGGGACAAAAGAACAAGAUACAGAUGGGGACGGAUGAGGCAGCUCCCCUGACCUCAGGCUCUUGGCUCCACGCUUCUCUCCUCUUUUCUGACUCCCUUCCCCCAACCCCGCUAAUCUCCUUCAGUCAUCAGGCCCCUGCCCGACCCCGGCCCCGCCGUCUCCACCUGCACAUUUUUGUCCUUGCAUCCUCCAUCACGUGCCAUGGCCACAUCUCAGUCCGGUUACCUCUGGCCAGGAGACUGCCUGCAAUGACAGCCUUUCAACGUGCUUCCUCUUCUUCAAGUCACUUCCCUUUAUGAAAUCCUCCU